CGGGAAGUAGCACAGCUUGGUAGAGCACAUGGUUUGGGACCAUGGGGUCGCAGGUUCGAAUCCUGUCUUCCCGACCA
rnacentral:tRNA from 1 species